UAAUAACUUAAAGGUUUGUUUGGCUUGAACUAAAUAAAAUAAAACAAAAAAAAUAAAAGCAACAGCAACGAAUUGCUUCAUCGUCCUCCUCUCUCCCAAUCUCCCUUUCACGAAAUCAAAACUCACAAUCUCCGUUUUUCUCUCUCGCUUCCCUCUACAAAUCUCACACCAAAUCCCUCUCACAACUCGUCUCUCUCCCAAUCGCGUGAAACUUUGAAAGAAAGCUCACCUUUGUGGUGAAUCAGUAGCUCAGGGUUUCGUUUGGUCUUUGGUGAAAGAAGCAUCCCUGCGAACUCCUUUCCGGGCUCAGAAUUCGAAUUAUCCUGUUUGAUGCUACAAUUUGGAAAAGUGAAAUUUGGAGCAAAAGCUUCUCUGGUUUCAAUGUAGCUGCUGAUAAAAUUUUGGUGACAGGUACGAGUUCUAAACGGAAUAUGGCUCAAUUGGAUAGCCCAUUGGUGUAACUCUCAGAAUGAUAAAACGUAGACAAGGUUGUAAUCAAGCUUCUGUGUAUUGAAGGCUGAAGUUUCGUUGACUGAGCACAAGUUUGUAAAAGGCAUCCCAAUCCAUCUAUUAUCAAGUCCUUUGGAAUGUAAUCUAGAGUCAUGAGUGCAACCCGUCUCAAGCCCACUUUUAUCAACAGAAUAAUCGACCAGAUUGGAUUUUGCAAUAACUGUUGUUGUAGGUGAAUGAACCAUUACAGCUUCCGCAACCAUAUAUUUUCUCUGCUUUCUGCUGUUAUUAAAGUCUGGCCAGAAAAAGUUUUCGAGCAUAUACUUGAUAUUCUUCCAGCUAUUGAGGUUAUGGUUGGGUAAUUUGGUGAGGAGAUGUGCUAUAGUGAUGAAUGGCAAUGGCGGCAGUGAAACAAAUGUGAGAUUGGAGUUUGGUUGCUGCGACAACAAAAUGGUUUGAGCAUGAGGACCAAACUGGUGCCAUUUGGAUAUUGCUCUCACCCGGUUUCUUCUCUAUUUUCUGCUCCUGGAUCUCAGGUUCUGCUACAGCAAAUGGCUUCAGCAUACGGUUGCCAAAUGCACGAGACAUUGCUAGCACUCUUAAAUUAACAACAAGCAGAUAACAAUCCCGCAAAACCCAUGCCUCAUUUCUAGAGAAAAUUGAGAACCAACCAACAAGUCAUUCCGACACAUCUCGAAAACAUACUUUUUGUCGCGAGUCUGGAACUGUUUGGUUGAUUUUGUUGGGCCACAUGUUUGUAAUUAUCAUCUUUUGUUGUAAGUUUCAGGAUGAACACCAGGGUCUUUCGUCAACCAAAGAGCCAUCAACCUUCUGAGCUACUAAUUGCCAUGGAACAAUUGCACUGUAAUGUUCAACAACGGCUUCUGAGAAAUUGUCGUACUGUUAUUAUGUCUUGCAUUUGACAGCAAAAUUAACAACGGCAUCAAGUUAUUCUUUCUCAAUUCUCAAUGCUUCACCGGUUGUCCACAAGAGAUUGUCGGCAGUGCAAGCUUCGAAGACUUUCUAUUGUGAAAACUAAAGGUCCUUCAAAGCUGAUUCAAACGACCCAUCACUUAAACGAAAGGACUCCUUAAAGAAGAGGUUAAGGCAGAUUACAUCUUCAUAUUUUGAUGUCGGCGACAGGCGUCGAGUGAGGCUCCCCAUAUAUCAGGCCCAGCUUGCAUUGGAAUGUCGUUAAUUACGUCCGAAGCCGUAUUCAACUCUCCCAUUCGACCAAGAAGAUCAACCGUUAUCGCAUAAUGCUCUGAGUUUGGUACCAAUUGAUACUCGCUAAUCAUGAUAUCAAACAUUUGUAUCCCUUCUUUAAUUAAACCUGAAUGACUUCAAGAAGAUAGAAUUGAGAUAAAAGUUACAUUGUUAGGCUUAGUAUCACAAUCAUUAGCCAUCUGAUAAAAUAAUUUCAAAGCCUGUUUGGUCAUGAUUUUGGUUGAUGCUGCUGUGAUUUCACUAUGGCUUUGUUGCAGGGUUCUUGUGUAUCAACCGAAAGCUGAACAAAUUGAUUUGAGAUCUGGUUAGAAGCAAUGACACCGUUAUUUAUAAUAUCAUGUUGAGAUGACUGCGGCUGUUUCUGCGGUUGCCGUCGGUGUUUGAAUGUCUCCUCUGUUGUCUUUGCUGCUCGCUGCUGAUAUUGUUAUGGUUAAUAUUGUGCAGGAAGUUUGUCGGAAGAAAAUGAAUCAGCUGUUGUGUUGGAUUGUUUUGGCUGAUGUUACAUAUUUCUGGACUGUUGAAGAUUGGUUCAAGGAGUGACGGGUGAGUCUUGUGCAUGAUGAUGGUGGAGGGAGACGGUGAGGGAAAAGGUUGAAGAGUUUUUUUUUGUUGUGGAAUUUUUCCUCCAUAUUUCCUUUUAAUUCCAACCAAUUAUUGUAAUAUGUAUUAGUCACUAGGAUAUAAUAAGUUGUAAUAGUAUUUAGCUUAUGUAAAAUGAUUCACACAAUGCCAAAUUUCAUGUAAUGCAAUGCAUAUGGACAUGUUUAUGGGAUCA